rnacentral:ribozyme from 15 species
AAAAAAAUUCCUCCCAUUCAUUUAUUUCUUAUCAUUUCUUUUGCUCUUUUUUUUCCAUUCAUUUCUCUUUUCUAUUCUCUUUAUUGGCAUCUUGUCAUGUCUAAAACAUCGAAGAGGCGAAGUCAGCUCAUGUAAAAUA